rnacentral:rRNA from 1 species
UACGAAUGGAGCAAGCGUUGUUCGGAAUCACUGGGCUUAAAGCGUGCGUAGGCGGAAACAUAAGUCAGGAGUGAAAUCCCGGGGCUCAACCCCGGAACUGCUCUUGAAACUACGUUUCUAGAAUCCGAUAGAGGUCAGGAGAAUUCCCAGUGUAGAGGUGAAAUUCGCAGAUAUUGGGAGGAAUACCAGUGGCGUAGGCGCCUGACUGGGUCGGUAUUGACGCUGAGGCACGAAAGCGUGGGGAGCAAACAGG